GAGUUUGAUCGUGGCUCAGAUUGAACGCUGGCGGCAGGCCUAACACAUGCAAGUCGAGCGGAUGACGGGAGCUUGCUCCUUGAUUCAGCGGCGGACGGGUGAGUAAUGCCUAGGAAUCUGCCUGGUAGUGGGGGACAACGUUUCGAAAGGAACGCUAAUACCGCAUACGUCCUACGGGAGAAAGCAGGGGACCUUCGGGCCUUGCGCUAUCAGAUGAGCCUAGGUCGGAUUAGCUAGUUGGUGGGGUAAUGGCUCACCAAGGCGACGAUCCGUAACUGGUCUGAGAGGAUGAUCAGUCACACUGGAACUGAGACACGGUCCAGACUCCUACGGGAGGCAGCAGUGGGGAAUAUUGGACAAUGGGGGCAACCAUGAUCCAGCCAUGCCGCGUGAGUGAAGAAGGCC
rnacentral:rRNA from 1 species